GGCGGAGACUGAGAGCCAAUGAGCCAGGGUGACGGGGAGGAUCUGGAGGGUCAAGGCGGAGCAGAUGGAAGCAGGAGCC